CAGUAGCCGCGGGAACACGAAGGGUGCUAGCGUUGCUCGGAAUGACUGGGCGUAAAGGGCGCGUAGGCGGUUUUGACAGUCAGAUGUGAAAUUCCUGGGCUUAACCUGGGGGCUGCAUUUGAGACGUCAAGACUAGAGUGUGAGAGAGGGUUGUGGAAUUCCCAGUGUAGAGGUGAAAUUCGUAGAUAUUGGGAAGAACACCGGUGGCGAAGGCGGCAACCUGGCUCAUUACUGACGCUGAGGCGCGAAAGCGUGGGGAGCAAACAGGAUUAGAUACCCCCGUAGUCCCUGUUUCUUAUAC
rnacentral:rRNA from 1 species